GUGGCGAACGGGUGAGUAACACGUGAGUAACCUGCCCUUAACUCUGGGAUAAGCCUGGGAAACUGGGUCUAAUACCGGAUAUGACUCCUCAUCGCAUGGUGGGGGGUGGAAAGCUUUAUUGUGGUUUUGGAUGGACUCGCGGCCUAUCAGCUUGUUGGUGAGGUAAUGGCUCACCAAGGCGACGACGGGUAGCCGGCCUGAGAGGGUGACCGGCCACACUGGGACUGAGACACGGCCCAGACUCCUACGGGAGGCAGCAGUGGGGAAUAUUGCACAAUGGGCGAAAGCCUGAUGCAGCGACGCCGCGUGAGGGAUGACGGCCUUCGGGUUGUAAACCUCUUUCAGUAGGGAAGAAGCGAAAGUGACGGUACCUGCAGAAGAAGCGCCGGCUAACUACGUGCCAGCAGCCGCGGUAAUACGUAGGGCGCAAGCGUUAUCCGGAAUUAUUGGGCGUAAAGAGCUCGUAGGCGGUUUGUCGCGUCUGCCGUGAAAGUCCGGGGCUCAACUCCGGAUCUGCGGUGGGUACGGGCAGACUAGAGUGAUGUAGGGGAGACUGGAAUUCCUGGUGUAGCGGUGAAAUGCGCAGAUAUCAGGAGGAACACCGAUGGCGAAGGCAGGUCUCUGGGCAUUAACUGACGCUGAGGAGCGAAAGCAUGGGGAGCGAACAGGAUUAGAUACCCUGGUAGUCCAUGCCGUAAACGUUGGGCACUAGGUGUGGGGGACAUUCCACGUUUUCCGCGCCGUAGCUAACGCAUUAAGUGCCCCGCCUGGGGAGUACGGCCGCAAGGCUAAAACUCAAAGGAAUUGACGGGGGCCCGCACAAGCGGCGGAGCAUGCGGAUUAAUUCGAUGCAACGCGAAGAACCUUACCAAGGCUUGACAUGGGCCGGACCGGGCUGGAAACAGUCCUUCCCCUUUGGGGCCGGUUCACAGGUGGUGCAUGGUUGUCGUCAGCUCGUGUCGUGAGAUGUUGGGUUAAGUCCCGCAACGAGCGCAACCCUCGUUCCAUGUUGCCAGCGCGUAAUGGCGGGGACUCAUGGGAGACUGCCGGGGUCAACUCGGAGGAAGGUGGGGACGACGUCAAAUCAUCAUGCCCCUUAUGUCUUGGGCUUCACGCAUGCUACAAUGGCCGGUACAAAGGGUUGCGAUACUGUGAGGUGGAGCUAAUCCCAAAAAGCCGGUCUCAGUUCGGAUUGGGGUCUGCAACUCGACCCCAUGAAGUCGGAGUCGCUAG
rnacentral:rRNA from 1 species